GCUUGUCUCAAAGAUUAAGCCAUGCAUGUCUAAGUAUAAGCAAUUUGUACUGUGAAACUGCGAAUGGCUCAUUAAAUCAGUUAUAGUUUAUUUGAUCUUACCUUACUACUUGGAUAACCGUGGUAAUUCUAGAGCUAAUACAUGCAAAAAUGGGCGACUUCUGGAAGCUCAGUAUUUAUUAGAUAAAAACCAAUGCCUCGUGCUUUUGGUGAGUCAUGAUAACUGCGCGGAUCGCAUGGCCUUGCGCCGGCGACGCUUCAUUCAAAUUUCUGCCCUAUCAACUUUCGAUGGUAAGAUAGAGGCUUACCAUGGUGUUAACGGGUAACGGGGAAUUGGGGUUCGAUUCCGGAGAGGGAGCCUGAGAAAUGGCUACCACUUCCAAGGAAGGCAGCAGG
rnacentral:rRNA from 1 species